rnacentral:ncRNA from 2 species
UUUCGUUCUCGGGGCGGGGUGAAAUUCCCCACCGGCGGUAAGAACUUAGGUUUAAGCCCGCGAGCGUCUAAUCGUAUAGAUUAGAGUCAGCAGAUCUGGUGUGAUUCCAGAGCCGACGGUCAUAGUCCGGAUGAUAGAGAGCGUGU